CUACGGGAGGCAGCAGUGGGGAAUAUUGCACAAUGGGGGAAACCCUGAUGCAGCGACGCCGCGUGAGCGAAGAAGUAUUUCGGUAUGUAAAGCUCUAUCAGCAGGGAAGAUAAUGACGGUACCUGACUAAGAAGCCCCGGCUAACUACGUGCCAGCAGCCGCGGUAAUACGUAGGGGGCAAGCGUUAUCCGGAUUUACUGGGUGUAAAGGGAGCGUAGACGGCAAGGCAAGUCUGAUGUGAAAACCCAGGGCUUAACCCUGGGACUGCAUUGGAAACUGUCUGGCUCGAGUGCCGGAGAGGUAAGCGGAAUUCCUAGUGUAGCGGUGAAAUGCGUAGAUAUUAGGAAGAACACCAGUGGCGAAGGCGGCUUACUGGACGGUAACUGACGUUGAGGCUCGAAAGCGUGGGG
rnacentral:rRNA from 1 species